UACGUAGGGGGCAAGCGUUUGUCCGGAAUCAUUGGGCGUAAAGAGCGCGUAGGCGGCCCUGUAAGUCCGCUGUGAAAGUCAAGGGCUCAACCCUUGGAUGCCGGUGGAUACUGCAGGGCUAGAGUCCGGAAGAGGCGAGUGGAAUUCCUGGUGUAGCGGUGAAAUGCGCAGAUAUCAGGAGGAACACCGAUGGCGAAGGCAGCUC
rnacentral:rRNA from 1 species